rnacentral:lncRNA from 1 species
GAAAAACAGAAUUUGGAGAGUGAUGGAUUGGGUGUGUGGGAUGAGAGAGAAGGGGAGUAAAACACGGCCUCCAGGUUUUAGGCUUGACUGUGGGGCUGUAAGGCCAUAUCCUGAGUUGUCCUCUGAGGAGUAAGACCACUGACUUUGGUGAAACACGCUUGCUGAGGCUGGAUGGACCAAGUGAUUCAGCGCCGUGAAAUGGAAAAGGAUUGAAAUGGUAAACAGGAGCGCUCAGGGUUCCACCCCCAAGUUCCUUUGUGACUAUGGGGCUGCCGUAACAAAGCACCACAAGCUGCGCGGCUUAAACCACAGAAAUGUAUUGCUUCAUGGUUCUGGAGGCUGAAAAUCCGAGAUCAAGAUGUCGGCAGGGCCAUGCUCCUUCGGAAGGUGCGAGGCAAGGCUCUGUUCCAGGCCUCUCUCCCAGCUGCCGGUGGUUCCUUGGCUUGUGGCAGGAUACCUCCAAUCUCCACAUGGCGUUCUCUGUGUGUGUGUGUGUGUGUGUGUGUGUGAGUGUUUCUGCACCCAAAUUUCC